UAAGCUGCGAUAAGCUUCGGGGAGCUGCAAAUAAGCAUUGAUCCGGAGAUUUCUGAAUGAGGAAACUCACUCAGGUUCAUACCUGAGUACGUUGUACUGAAAUUCAAAAUAGGUACAUCGGGGGAACCGCCUGAACUGAAACAUCUAAGUAGGGCGAGGAAGAGACAUCAAACGAGAUUCCGUAAGUAGUGGCGAGCGAACGCGGAAGAGGGCAAACCGAAGGUAGAAAUACCUUCGGGGUACGGACUGCUUUUAGGACUCAAUCUGUUAACCGAACGGCAUGGGAAGGCCGGUCAGAGAGUGUGAGAACCACGUAGGUGAAAACGGAGAGAGCUGCGCAGAUUCCAGAGUACGGCCAGACACGUGAAACCUGGUCGGAAGAUGGGGGGACCACCCUCCAACCCUAAAUACUACCCAGUGACCGAUAGCGUAUAGUACUGUGAAGGAAAGGUGAAAAGCACCCCGGGAGGGGAGUGAAAAAGAACCUGAAACCCUGUGCCUACAAGCACCUAGAGCACGUCAAUGUGUGAUAGGGUACUUUUUGUAGAACGGUCCGGCGAGCGAUUGUAUGCAGCAAGGUUAAGGACUUAAGGUCUGGAGCCGAAGCGAAAGCGAGUUUGAAAAGGGCGUUAAGUUGCAUAUAAUGGGCCCGAAACCGGGUGACCUACCCAUGGUCAGGUUGAAGUGGAAGUAAAAUUCCAUGGAGGACCGAACCGACCUCCGUUGAAAAGGCGGCGGAUGAACUGUGGGUAGCGGAGAAAUUCCAAUCGAACCCGGAGAUAGCUGGUUCUCCCCGAAAUAGUUUUAGGACUAGCCUCAAGUUAGAUACCUGGAGGUAAAGCACUGAAUAGCCUAGCGGCCGAGAGGUUAGCGAAGCUUAUCAAACUCAGAAUGCCAGAGUAUUGAUGCUUGGGAGUCAGACAGUGUCAGAUAAAUGUCAUUGUCAAAAGGGAAACAGCCCAGAUCUACAGCUAAGGUCCCAAAGUCAGGUUAAGUGGAAAACGAUGUGAAGAUACGCAGACAACCAGGAUGUUGGCUCAGAAGCAGCCACUCAUUCAAAGAGUGCGUAAUAGCUCACUGGUCGAGCGUCUUUGCGCGGAGAAUUUAACGGGGCUAAACCUGACACCGAAGCUUAGGCAAUCCAGUAAUGGAUUGGGUAGGGGAGCGUUGUAUACGCGGAGAAACAGUAGCGUGAGCGGCUGUGGAGUGUAUAGAAGUGAGAAUGCCGGAAUGAGUAGCGCGAAUGCAGUGAGAAUCUGCAUGGCCGAAAGCCUCAGGUUUUUGGAGGAAGGUUCGUCCGCUCCAAGUUAGUCGGGAGCUAAGGUGAGGCCGGAAGGCGUAGCCGAUGCACAGACGGUAGAGAUUCCGUCACCACCAAAAGAGUUAAGCACAGGGACACAUUUGAAGUCUCAGAGCCGGGUGUUGGUUCCGGUAGAGAUCGAGGGAAAUUAGUACCGAAGUCUGGGAUGGAAGAUGGCGAGAAAAGCUGUGUGUAUUUCUGAGGUGCCCGUACCGCAAACCGACACAGGUAGGUAGGAAGAAGAUUCUAAGGCCAACGGGAGAAGGGUUGUUAAGGAACUCGGCAAAUUGACCCCGUAACUUCGGGAGAAGGGGUGCUCCAGAGAUGGAGCCGCAGAGAAUCGGCCCAAGCAACUGUUUACCAAAAACACAGGUUUGUGCUAAAUCGAAAGAUGACGUAUACGAGCUGACGCCUGCCCGGUGCUGGAAGGUUAAGAGGAGAUGUGCAAGCAUUGAAUCGAAGCCCCAGUGAACGGCGGCCGUAACUAUAACGGUCCUAAGGUAGCGAAAUUCCUUGUCAGGUAAGUUCUGACCCGCAUGAAAGGCGUAAUGAUUUGGGCACUGUCUCAACAGCCCGCCCGGCGAAAUUGUAGUACCGGUGAAGAUGCCGGUUACCCGCGACAAGACGGAAAGACCCCAUGGAGCUUUACUGUAGCCUAAUAUUGGGUUUCGAUGUUGCAUGCACAGGAUAGAUGGGACACUGGGAAACAAUCGCUUUGGCGGUUGCGGAGUGGCCGUUGGGAUACCAUCCUUGCGAUAUUGGAAUUCUAACCUGCGGCUCUGAAUCGAGUCGGGGGACAUUGUUAGGUGGGCAGUUUGACUGGGGCGGUCGCCUCCUAAAGAGUAACGGAGGCGUUCAAAGGUUCGCUCAGCUUGAACGGAAAUCAAGCAAAAGAGUGCAAACGCAGAAGCGAGCCUAACUGCGAGACUGACGGGUCGAGCAGUAACGAAAGUUGGAGUUAG
rnacentral:rRNA from 1 species